ACGUGGGGUAAACCCUGCCUCAUAGAGGGGGAAUAGCCUUCGAAAGGAAGAUUAAUACCGCAUAAGAUUGUAGCACCGCAUGGUGCAGCAAUUAAAGGAGUAAUCCGCUAUGAGAUGGACCCGCGUCGCAUUAGCUAGUUGGUGAGGUAACGGCUCACCAAGGCGACGAUGCGUAGCCGACCUGAGAGGGUGAUCGGCCACAUUGGGACUGAGACACGGCCCAGACUCCUACGGGAGGCAGCAGUGGGGAAUAUUGCACAAUGGGGGAAACCCUGAUGCAGCAACGCCGCGUGAGUGAUGACGGCCUUCGGGUUGUAAAGCUCUGUCUUUGGGGACGAUAAUGACGGUACCCAAGGAGGAAGCCACGGCUAACUACGUGC
rnacentral:rRNA from 1 species